rnacentral:rRNA from 1 species
CCUCCGACUUUCGGGAAGGAGUGGACUUACUAGUUUUGAGCCGACCCGGCUUGCCGGUUUAUUGGUGAAUCAUAAUAAUUUCUAGAUCGCAGUGGCUUUUCGGCCGGCGAUGGGUCAUUCAAAUUUCUGCCCUAUCAGCUUUGAUGUUAGUGUAGUGGACUAACAUGGCAAAUACGGGUGACGGAGGAUUAGGGUCUGAUUCCGGAGAGGGAGCCUGAGAAACGGCUACCACUUCCAAGGAAGGCAGCAGGCGCGUAAAUUACCCAAUCCCGACACGGGGAGGUAGUGACAAGAAAUAACAAUACUAGGCUUUUUAAAAGUCUGGUAGUUGGAAUGAGUACAAUCUAAAACACUUAACGAGGAACAAUUGGAGGGCAAGUCUGGUGCCAGCAGCCGCGGUAAUACCAGCUCCAAUAGCGUAUAUUAAAGUUGUUGCAGUUAAAAGGCUCGUAGUCGAACUUCUGGCUCUGUGCACGCGGCGCGCUGCUUUGCAGCGAUUGUUGCUGUGAACGGGCCAUCCUUCUGGAGAGCGUGUCUUCCCUUGAUUGGGCGGGCACGUAAUUCAGUUCAUUUACUGUGAGAAAAUCAGAGUGUUCAAAGCAGGCUUUGAUCGCUUGAAUGUUACAGCAUGGAAUAAUAAGAUAGGGCUUUGGUUUUAUCUUGUUGGCUGUGAACUAAAGUAAUGAUGGAAAGGGAUAGUUGGGGGUGCUAGUAUUUAAUGGUCAGCGGUGAAAUGCGUGGACCCAUUAAAGACUAACUUAUGCGAAAGCAUUCACCAAGGAUAUCUUCUUUGAUCAAGAACGAAAGUUGGGGGAUCGAAGACGAUCAGAUACCGUCGUAGUCUCAACCAUAAACUAUGCCAACUAGGGAUUGGCGGUCGUUGAUUAUCGACUCCGUCAGCACCUUAUGAGAAAUCAAAGUCUCUGGGUUCUGGGGGGAGUAUGGUCGCAAGGCUGAAACUUAAAGGAAUUGACGGAAGGGCACCACCAGGAGUGGAGCCUGCGGCUCAAUUUGACCCAACACGGGAAAACUUACCAGGUCCGGACAUAGUAAGGAUUGACAGAUUGAAGAUCUUUCUUGAUUCUAUGGAUGGUGGUGCAUGGCCGUUCUUAGUUGGUGGAGUGAUUUGUCUGGUUAAUUCCGUUAACGAACGAGACCUCAGCCUGCUAAUUAGACAGCGCGAUUGCGAUCGACGUUGCCUUCUUAGAGGGACUAUCGGCUUUUAAGUCGGGGGAAGUGUGAGGCAAUAACAGGUCUGUGAUGCCCUUAGAUGUUCUGGGCCGCACGCGCGCUACACUGAUACAGUCAGCGAGUUCUCACCUUGGCCGAAAGGUCUGGGCAAUCUUGGGAAACUGUAUCGUGAUGGGGCUUGACGAUUGCAAUUAUUUGUCACAAACGAGGAAUUCCUAGUAAGCGCAAGUCAUCAACUUGCAUUGAUUACGUCCCUGCCCUUUGUACACACCGCCCGUCGCUCCUACCGAUUGAAUGUUCCGGUGAACCCUCUGGAGCCGUGACCUCGUCGGGGCAACUCGCUUGGUCAUGGUGAAAUUGUGUAAACCUUAACAUUUAGAGGAAGGAGAAGUCGUAACAAGGUU